rnacentral:lncRNA from 1 species
GGAUAUUUGUGUGUUUUUUUUUACCUGGUGUUUGCAUAUUUAAACUAUCCUCUUCAGUUUUGGAGUUAGUUGAGGUCAUUGUUCUUAGUUUUUUGUUUUUGUUUUUUAAAUAAACAAUGUGAUAUUAUAAAUUACAUUGAAAAUUGAGCACAUCUAAUUAUUGUCACAUUGUAUAUACCUCUGCUGGUUCAAGGUUUCAUGAAUAUUUCUAUGCAGUUAUAUUUAUGGAAUGUUGCUGAUUGCAUAUCCCCCUUUCUUGGCAUUCACAGAAAUAUCUGAAUUAGGGGACAGGAGUUCAAGACAAAGCAACACUACUGGGAAUUAUCAUAAAAGCUAAAAUAUACAUAUGUUAAACCUCAGUGUGACCCUGCAGAAAUACUGAGACUUCCUAGGUAAGGACAGACGGAAAAACAAUUCAUCCCCUGGCAACUGCUAAUCUUAUAUCUUUUUCUACAUAGAGAGGAGAACCAGGUGGUGAAUCUUGGAAAAGGUCAAGAAAUCUGUCAGCCUCAUCUCAGUUGACUUGACCUCUCUCCUUUAUGCCACUGUUGUUCCUGCUUCUCUUGGAGAUAGAUCUGGCUUCUCUCUUAGAAACCAUAGUUCACGCAAUGGCCAUGACUGAUUAGCCUAUUCUUAAUCUGAAGCAGAAAGAUUAAGUCCUCUUCCAUGAGAGUGAGAUCUUAAUUACUAGAAUGUCAUUGUGGUAUGCAACAUAAAAUAAGUGAUGUAAUCAUUCUGACCUGGUUGCCUCAAACAACUCCAAGAAAACUGUAUUUUCUUUAGGAGGGAUGGCCAAACUGGAGUGGUCAUACAGAACAGCAGUGAAAAUGGGCAGGGGAACAUGGGCUCUUCUCUUUUGAGGACAGUUGAGGGAACAAAAUUGAUGCUAUUGCCUAGAAGCAACUUGAUGUUACUUUGCAUUUAUUUGAAUAGUUUUCAUGGAGGAGAUGGAACAAAAAGUGUGAUUUGAAUGCAUAUAAAGAAGAUAUUUCUUUUGGCUUGAAUUAAUGGAAUAAGGGAAAAGAUUAUCUUAAGGAAUGACCAGAUGCUGCUGAUGAAAUUUAUACAUCCUCUUGAGAGUGUACUAGAUAACAUCAAAGGUUCUUUCCAACUCUGAGAGUAUAUGCAAUGAUGAUUCUGAUGCUUGCAACUCAAAGUUUUAAGGGACCUGGAAUAUUUAUUUUGUGAAUGUUUAAAAGAAGCUCAGAUGAACGUCUAAGGCAUUCAUGAGCACUGUCUGGAGCAAAAUAUUAGACAAAUGGAUCUUCAGGUUUCUUUGAAAAAUAUGAUUUUGUUCUUUAUUUAAAGAUGUUUCUUUGGGGGUAAUGUUUGUAAAAUAAAAGGUAAGUCUUCAGACAUUACUUUUCACUCAUGGUCAUGAACAGCUUUCUUUUUGUCUAAUGUUAGUAGCUCAUUGAUCAUGAAAUAAACUUCUGUUUUUGUCUUUAGAACCUCUCACAACCAAUCAAUAUGUUCCUUUUUACCUAAACUGCAGUGGUCCUAUGGCUUCCAGUUGUAGUUUCUAUUGCUAAUUGGCUCUCUCCAAUUAAAAAUUUUUUUUCUGGUGGCCAUUCAAACUAUCUAUACACACUUAUUUCCAAAUAAAUUAAGAAUAAAAGAUCUUUUCAUCUUUUGUAGGCAUCUAUAUAUAUUUUAGGUAAUUGGUAUCUCCCUGCAUUUUUUAAUGAAACAAGUUGCAUUCUCCUUAUGGUCUGCUAUGGAGAAAUUAAAGCAAAAUAUUUAGGCAUUAAAAUACUCCCUCUAGUUUAGUUGUGACAUUAAAAAUACACAUAUAUGAAACAAAAUAAAGGUGUCACAAUAAAUUGAAUUCUGUAUCUCUGUGCAAAUGGCACUAAAAGAAACACACCACGCUAUUUUCUUUGCUUACUGGUUUGUGAGCUGUUAUCAUAGUACCUUUGGAGAAUUUCUUUUUUCUUUUGUUUGGCACUUUGGCCAUUUUUAAUUUGGCUGAUGUGGAUCACAUUUCACAUGGUUUUCAAUGGUGUUUCCAACCAUUGAGAAGACUCAGUGAUUGCACAUUUUAUUCACAUUUUUGGUAUAUUAUUUCCUCCUCUCCAUUCUUCCCUGGGAAUUCUAUUAAAUGGGUAAUACCUAGAUUUAGACACUAAUGUCAUGUCUCUCAUAUUUUCUAUCACCUGCUCUUUGAUAUAUUCUAGGAAACUUUGUAUAUGUAAUAAGUACAUAUAGGUGUAUUAAUGCUUAGAAAUGAGAGAGGGAUACAAAGCAGUAUGUUAGCAGUUAUUAACUCGAUUAUGGAAAUGAAGAAGAACAAUUUUUUCUUUUCAUUUUUUAGUUUUAUUGUGGAAUAGCUGAAUUGCAAUGUUGUGAUAAUUUCUGCUGUUGCAACAAAUUGAUUCAGUUAUGCACAUGACCAUUUUUUUUUUUUUGAUUCUUUUCCCAUAUAAGUUAUCACAGAGUGUUAGGUAGGGUUCUUGGUGCUAUACAGCAGGUCCCCUUGACCAUCCAUUCCAUCUACAACAGUGUGCAUACACCAAUCCCAAACCCCCAAUAUAUCCCUCCUGCACCCAUUCCCUUUGUAACCAGAAGUUUGUUUUGGAAGUCUGUGAGUCUCUUUCUGUUUUGUAAAUAAUUUUAUUUGUAUCUUUUUUUUGAGUCUAUGUAUAAGUGAUUUCAUAUGAUGUUUCUCUUUCUCUGUCUGACUUACUUCACCUAGCAUGAUAAUCUCUAGGUCACUUCAUGUGCAAAUACUUUCUUCCAUUCUGUGGGUUGACUUUUUGUUUAUGGUUUCCUGUGCUGUGCAAAAUCUCUUAAGCUUAAUUAGGUACCAUUUAUUUAUUUUUGUUUUUUAUUACUCUGGGAGGUGGAUCUGAAAAGGUAUUGCUGUGGUUUAUAUCAAAGGGUGUUCUGUCUAUAAGUUUUUAGUAUUUGGUCUUACAUUUAGGUCUUUAAUCCUUUUUUGAAUUUAUUUUUGUAUUUUUAAAUUUGUAUGGAAACGCAAAAGACAUUGAACAGCCAGAGCAAUCCUGAGAAAGAAAAAGCUGGAGGAAUCAGGCUCUCUGACUUCAGACUAGACUAUAAAGCUGUAGUCAUCAAAAAAGCAUGGUACAGGUACAAAACAGUCUGAUCAGUGGAAUGGAAUAAGCCCAUGCAUCUAUGGCCGGCUGAUUUAAGACAGAGGAGGCAAGAAUAUAUGGUGGAGAAAAGAUGGUCUCUUCAAUAGGUGGUGCUGGAAAGACUGGACAGCUACAUAUAAAAGAAUCAAAUUAGAACACUCUCUAACACUAUAUACAAAAAUAAGCUCAAAAACGACUUCAAAUUUUAGUCUAUAUAUUUUUAUUUGAAUUUGAAAAUACAUUUAUUAAUUGUAAUAAAAUUGAAAGUAUUUAAAAUAUAUGCAAAAGAAACUAAAGAAAAAAAUUAAAACCUAGUGAUGUUGCUAUUAAAAUUAUUUCUGAUCUUACAUUUUAUUUGCUUUAUAUGACCAUUUAUGAGAAAGUUGCUUCAAAAUCUAAUAAAAGUUAUUUCUAAUAUACUUGCUUUAAAUAACAUAAUGAUAUUUUGUUUGGAUGUAUAUUUGCAAUGUAUUUUCCCAGCAUCUUACAUGCCCAGUGCUUGGAAUGGUGUCUAGUGUAUGUUAGGUGUCUCUGGACAUGAGGAAUGGCCUGAUAUGUCUCAAUCUGCCAGCCCCACAUUUGGAGAGCCACUGAGCAGGGGUCCUCUUGGCCAACGCAAUCUAGAUACCUAGUGUAUCCUCACAUGGAGGUUCCUUAAGAUUACCCACUAUGCAAUAAGUUAGGUUGGCAGGCCUGAGUGAUGAGGAGAUUGACUUGUCCGCAGUAGGCUGGGGCACAACAUUGAUUGGAAAACUGGCAAAAGAGGGAUAUCCAGCAGUAAAUUCAUGAGGAAUUGUGGUGCCGGGUCCUCUACAAUGCUGUGAAAGUCUAAGCUAGCCUAUAUACUAUUUUUUGCACUCUGGGAAACAUGAUAUUAAAUAGCAAAAAAAAAAAAAAAAAA